rnacentral:rRNA from 1 species
AGCAGUAGCCGCGGUAAAACAGAGGGUGCGAGCGUUAAUCGGAUUUACUGGGCGUAAAGCGUGCGUAGGCGGCUAAUUGAGUCGGAUGUAAAAUCCCCGAGCUUAACUUGGGAAUUGCAUUCGAUACUGGUUAGCUAGAGUGUGGGAGAGGAUGGUAGAAUUCCAGGUGUAGCGGUGAAAUGCGUAGAGAUCUGGAGGAAUACCGAUGGCGAAGGCAGCCAUCUGGCCUAAUACUGACGCUGAGGUACGAAAGCAUGGGGAGCAAACAGGAUUAGAUACCCCCGUAGUCCCUGUCUCUUAUAC